GACGAACGCUGGCGGCGUGCUUAACACAUGCAAGUCGAACGGAAAGGCCCUGCUUUUGUGGGGUGCUCGAGUGGCGAACGGGUGCGUAACACGUGAGUAUCCUGCCCUUGACUUUGGGAUAACUUCAGGAAACUGGGGCUAAUACCGGAUAGGAGCUCCUGCUGCAUGGUGGGGGUUGGAAAGUUUGGGCGGUUGGGGAUGGACUCGCGGCUUAUCUGCUUGUUGGUGGGGUAUUGGCUUACCAAGGCUUUGACGGGUAGCCGGCCUGAGAGGGUGACCGGCCACAUUGGGACUGAGAUACGGCCCAGACUCCUACGGGAGGCAGCAGUGUGGAAUAUUGCACAAUGGGCGGAAGCCGGAUGCAGCAACGCCGCGUGCGGGAUGACGGCCUUCGUGUUGGAAACCGCUUUCGCCUGUGACGAAGCGUGUGUGACGGUAAUGGGUAAAGAAGCACCGGCUAACUACGUG
rnacentral:rRNA from 1 species